UUUUAAGCAUAGGUAUGUCCCAUGCAAUAUCUGGGACAUACCUUUAUUAAAA
rnacentral:pre_miRNA from 1 species